rnacentral:rRNA from 1 species
UACGAAGGGGGCUAGCGUUGUUCGGAAUUACUGGGCGUAAAGCGCACGCAGGCGGAUUGAUAAGUCAGGGGUGAAAUCCCGGGGCUUAACCUCGGAAUUGCCUUUGAUACUGUCUGUCUUGAGUCCGGGAGAGGUGAGUGGAAUUCCUAGUGUAGAGGUGAAAUUCGUAGAUAUUAGGAAGAACACCAGUGGCGAAGGCGGCUCACUGGUCCGGAACUGACGCUCAUGUGCGAAAGCGUGGGGAGCAAACAGG